GGGUGCAUCGUUUAAUGGCAAGACAAGAGACUUCUAAUCUCUUUAUACGGGUUCGAAUCCCGUUGAAUCCU
rnacentral:tRNA from 1 species